AUUGAACGCUGGCGGCAGGCCUAACACAUGCAAGUCGAGCGAGUGGCGGACGGGUGAGUAAUAUAUCGGAACGUGCCCCGUAGCGGGGGAUAACUACUCGAAAGCGUGGCUAAUACCGCAUACUAUUGGAUCUGCCCAUAUGGGAUUAGCUAGUGGGUGGGGUAAAGGCUCACCAAGGCGACGAUCCGUAGCUGGUUUGAGAGGACGACCAGCCACACUGGGACUGAGACACGGCCCAGACUCCUACGGGAGGCAGCAGGGGGGAAUUUUGGACAAUGGGGGCAACCCUGAUGCAGCCAUCCCGCGUGUAUGAGAAGGCCUUAGGGUUGUAAAGUACUUUUGGCAGAGAAGCGGUAUCUGCAGAAUAAGCACCGGCUAACUACGUGCCAGCAGCCGCGGUAAUUC
rnacentral:rRNA from 1 species